GGGGGCAUUUAUUUUGCACUCUAUUUUUCUACAGACUGAUAUGUCUUCUCCCUGGCGACUGUGAGGAGUAGCAAGGAAGAGAAUGACUGUGGCUGCCUGGUGGGGGAUGCAUAGCUACUACAGUUUCCAGUUUGGCAGAGCUCACAGAAAUAGCUCUUGCAGAAAUAUGUAUUCCUGAAAUGACCUAAAAAUAACCCAGUAUAAACCUGAAGUGUAUAUAAAGUUGGAAUAUAAAGAUGUAAAAGGUAUAAAUCACUCUGCUCUGCCUGUCCCAGGGAGCACCUUCGUGGUUAUUCCAGCCCAUACCAUGCCUUACCCCUCCACACCGCGACUCUGUUCUCCUGGUUUGAAGGACUUGAUUUGAAAACAGCAGAAGGAUUGAUGCUGCCUUGGCUGGAUCGAGAGGCACCCAUGCCUCUGGAGAAAAUUUUAUUUGUGCUUAUGAAAUGAGACCCUCAUGAGAUGUCGGAUAGACUAGACUGUGAAGGGUCUGCUACAAGUGUUUCAACCCGCCUGUUCGAAAGAGAGCUGAGUUCAUAAUGAGUAGUAUCAUAUGGUUUGUGUUUUUUUUCCCUCUACCAAUAGGAACAGAAAUUUUGUGAUCAGGGGAAGAGCUUUGGGUUGAUAAUAUAAAUUUUGUUCUGCUGGAUAAAACCAGAAGGGUUUUCCUCAAAGCUUCAGCCUUAGAAAAAUGGUGGUACUGCAGUCUCUGCUGUCUAUGUUCAGAGCUAAAAUGAAAUCUUUUUAUUACAUUCACUUGAAAUAAUGACAUCUGCUACUCCAGGCACAGUUAAAACCUCAUUCACUUGCUUGUAUGCCUGGGCUCUAGAAAAAUUUCCCAAUGAACUUGAACGCCUACUGUGUUAAGCAGUGUCCCUUUUAAAUGUACUAAUUGCAAAACAUAGACUGAAGAGAAAUGGUCACAGCAGUGGUGGAUGAAGAGUUUUUGUCCCUCAUUAAGUUUAAGCUUGAGGCUCUGGUAGAGCUUUGUCAUUUCAGCCCAGCACUUCUGCUAUAUGGCAGUAUUCAAGCAUGCAGACUUCAAAUGGUCUUUUCAUGGGCAUUCAGGCAAUCCAGGCUCCAUCGCUCUAACGUCUGUAGAAAACAAACAAGAAAGAGCUGGGAAGCCUGGGCAAAGGGAAUCCAUUUUCAAGCCACCAGUAACACUAGUCCACUAAUGCAAUCCCUGUCUUGGCCUCUGGAUUUGAGAGAUGAUUAAAAAAAACCCCAAAGCCAGAAACAAAUUGGCAUCAUCUAGCCAGAUGUUAAUGGGACGCUAGCUCUUAAUGGAUGUUUGCUGCUAUUCACACUGCUGUGUAUCACUACUGCUUUCUUCAGUUUACAUAAUCAGAUAUAAUCCGUGAAUAUGUUCAUGCAAAUUUUAGCAGAGGAUGGAUUUGUAGAGCAGGACAUCUCAGUUACAAUGUGCUUUAACUAGAAAUCGUUUAUGUGAAAUACAGAAAUGACCACCUCAGGUAACAUUUCUGUAAUUUUUAAUUUAAUUUCUGUAAUUGUUUUACUGUGAAACCCGAUAAAAAUUAGACAAAAC